rnacentral:rRNA from 1 species
UACGUAGGGUGCAAGCGUUGUCCGGAAUUAUUGGGCGUAAAGAGCUCGUAGGCGGCUUGUCGCGUCGACUGUGAAAUCCCGCGGCUCAACCGCGGGUCUGCAGCCGAUACGGGCAGGCUAGAGUGCGGUAGGGGAGACUGGAAUUCCUGGUGUAGCGGUGAAAUGCGUAGAUAUCUGGAGGAACACCGGUGGCGAAGGCGGCAUCCUGGACCGAGAUCGACGCUGAGGCGCGAAAGCUAGGGGAGCAAACGGG